GCCGAGCUUGGUAACUCGAGCUUGUAACCUGAGUGGGGGCUUUAAGGUGAUUGAACGUUGGUUUGGCUUUGCAGAGUCGGAUCUCGGGUGGUUUAACUCUGGCUUGCCCGUUCCAAGUUUAGAGUUGAGCCAAGGGGCUUGAGUGAAAACUCUGAGUCUCGUGGUUCUUAGAGUGGAGGGAACUGCGUCAGGCUGGUUUCACAGAGCAGCGAAGACCUCUCUCUCUUGACAGUGGAAGAAUAACAAGCUCGAUCCACUCCGAUCCAACAUGGCUCAGCGAGCAAACCAUGACUGGACCAUCAUCCUU
rfam:Gossypium arboreum cultivar AKA8401 contig_49717_1, whole genome shotgun sequence.